rnacentral:rRNA from 1 species
AGUGAACGCUGGCGGUAGGCCUAACACAUGCAAGUCGAACGGCAGCACAGUAAGAGCUUGCUCUUACGGGUGGCGAGUGACGGACGGGUGAGGCAUACAUAGGAAUCUACUUUUUCGUGGGGGAUAUCGUAGGGCAACUUACGCUAAUACCGCAUAAUACCUACGGGUGAAAGCAGGGGAUAUUCGGACCUUGCGCGAUCGAAUGAGCCGAUGUCGGAUUAGCUAGUUGGCGGGGUAAAGGCCCACCAAGGCGACGAUCCGUAGCUGGUCUGAGAGGAUGAUCAGCCACACUGGAACUGAGACACGGUCCAGACUCCUACGGGAGGCAGCAGUGGGGAAUAUUGGACAAUGGGCGCAAGCCUGAUCCAGCCAUACCGCGUGGGUGAAGAAGGCCUUCGGGUUGUAAAGCCCUUUUGUUGGGAAAGAAAAGCAGCAGGUUAAUACCCCGCUGUUCUGACGGUACCCAAAGAAAAAGCACCGGCUAACUUCGUG